GAUUUCUGGUUUGUAACAUUUUGGCGGCCUCGGUUUCGAGUGUUAGUCCUUUCUGUUCUGACCAUCCUUCCAAUGGCUGUUUGCUUGUCUUCAUUGACUAGUAAGUGGUAUUGGAUCUUUUACUUUGAAAAAAUUAGAGUGUUUCAAGCAAGCUUUCUGCUAUGAAUACAUUAGCAUGGAAUAAUAAUUUAGGACUUCGGUUCUAUUUUGUUGGUUUCUAGGACUGAAGUAAUGAUUGAUAGGGAUAGUUGGGGGUGCUAGUAUUCAGCGGCCAGAGGUGAAAUUCUCGGAUUCGCUGAAGACUAACUUAUGCGAAAGCAUU
rnacentral:rRNA from 1 species